UGCGUAGGCGGAUUAAUAAGUCAGUGGUGAAAUCUUUCGGCUCAACCGAGAAACUGCCAUUGAUACUGUUAAUCUUGAGUUCGGUUGAGGUAGGCGGAAUGUGUAAUGUAGCGGUGAAAUGCUUAGAUAUUACACAGAACACCAAUUGCGUAGGCAGCUUACUAGACCGACACUGACGCUGAGGCACGAAAGCGUGGGGCGCGAACAGGAUUAGAUACCCUGGUAGUCC
rnacentral:rRNA from 1 species